rnacentral:lncRNA from 1 species
CCAAGGGGUCCUGUGUUUUCCCAGGGAAACCUGGUCCCCGUUUCACCAGCCCCUCAGAGUUUCCUGGCUAAGGGUGAACUAGGCCUGGGGAAAAAAAGCUUAAGGGCAUCCCAGGGACUCUGCUCGGGCAUCUGCAGGGCAGGACGGGCCUUGAAAUCUGGCAGUUGUGAGGUCGUUUGCAGCAGUUUCUAACCCCCUCCCCCUCUUCUUCCAGGAGCCCCCACGAGAGCAUCUGGCCCCUCUGAGAAAAGAGAGAGAACCAGCCAAAGCCGAGGAGCAGCAGCAAAGCGAGGAGCUGCUGAAACAGAUAGAAGCCGAGAGGCAGAAGAUCAUCGGGGAGUGGCAGGAGCUGCGAGGGUUUCUGGAGGAGCAGGAGCAGCGGCUGCUGUCCCGGCUGGAGGAGCUAGAGAGAGCCAUUGUCCAGAGAAGGGAUGAGGGCGUCUGCAGCCUGUCCUGGGAGAUUUCCCUGCUCAGCGAGAGGGGAGGAGAGAAGGGGCAGCAGCCGCUGAGCCAACCCCAGCAGGGCGCUGGGAGCGCUGAGAGCAGGGCGGACGGGAUGUUUCAGAAGCCAGACCCGGGGUUUGCGGAGCUGGAGAAGAGACUCAGCCAUUUCUCUCUGAAAAGCGCCAUGCUGCAGCAGAUGCUGCUGGAAUUCAAAGGUGAAUUGGAAUCGGGGGGGUUGUCUCCCCACUAGCUAGAGCAGCCCUGGACCUGGGGAGGAGUC